CAGACUCAGACUAAGCUUGACAUGGCUCCUGAAGACUGCUGCUGAGCUCCUGUGGGAUGUUACAGAUACCAUGGUCACUGCACUCAAGCUCCUCAUGAAUCAGAUCCCGAGUUCUCAGCCUAUCACAUGAAAGACAGGGAAGAUGAAAGGCAAGGUCCAGAGCAGUUAAUUUGUGACUAAGAACUGAACAUGAAGAGAAAAAAAGGGGCCAUUUUUCUUCUUUGAGAAGACCUCUGUAGACCAGGGCUGCACAGAAGUGCAGCAGUAAGGGUGAGAAAGAUCAAUCAGUCUGUAACUAUGUGAAGGUACUAAAAUACUAUGAUGAGAAGAAUGAGGAGGAAGAGGAUGAAAGCCAUAUUAUUGCCCUUAGUGCAGAGUAGCUAAGCAGCAGCACAGUGGAUGUUGGCAGCCGCUGGGCUUCCCAGACAAGAGAACAAACUGUCCAAGCACUGCCAGUCCUGACAGCAAAAGUGUCCCCAUCCUCUUUACAGGUUAAAAAAAAUCAACAGCAGCUUGCAAGAUACUGAGGUCACAGAAGAUCCUGAGAAAUGACUUUACAGUGGCUGGGACAUUUCAUCUGAGCCAGAAACAGCGAUUGUUGCAGCUGCUUCCUGCAACACAGCACUUCCCCUUCCCUCUGGUCCCAGAUUGCUUUGGGCUUGUUUUCUUUUUCUAGCCAAUUCACCCAAAGGCCAAGAAUCCACUGACAUGUUUGUAAGAGUUUAAGAUCUACCUCUUGUGUCAGGUCUUUUCUGUGAGAGAAGAAACAAGGCAAAGCAGAUGAGUUUCAGCUUACUCUCAUCAACUGUUAAUCAGUGCUUACAUAAAUGUUAGAGGGAAAACAUUUUAGGAACUAAUUUCUCAAUGCACUUUCAAGCAUCUUCAAAAUAUAUUCCUCUUACUGGUAGCUACUAAAAUAAAAGCAUUUCAUUUUAUUCCCAUUUAAGCAGAUCUUAAGGGCAUGAAUACACCUAAUUAAGCUUUCUGGUAUUCAUAGAGUUUGCUUUGCCAACACAAAGGCAAAAAUUAAUUAGAAAAAAUUCAAAAUAUUCCUC